rnacentral:rRNA from 1 species
GACGAACCGUGCGAACGUUGUUCGGAAUCACUGGGCUUAAAGGGCGCGUAGGCGGCUCCGCAAGUCGGGGGUGAAAUCUUUCGGCUUAACCGGAAAAGUGCCUCUGAUACUGCGGAGCUCGAGGGAGGUAGGGGCGGACGGAACUUCCGGUGGAGCGGUGAAAUGCGCAGAUAUCAGGAGGAACACCGGUGGCGAAGGCGGGUCUCUGGGCAGUAACUGACGCUGAGGAGCGAAAGCGUGGGGAGCGAACAGG